ACAGGAGUGUCAUUGUUCCACUUAAUGCAAACAACUGAACAAGGCAAAAGCAGUAACAAUUGUAAUGCAGGGUUCUUCCUCCACCCCCCGCACUCCAUCCUCUUCUACCGGACCCAUCACAGACAUAUCUGGGAGCUUUUAUUCACAGGAAAUAGGCUGUCUAAGUGUGUCAAACAGAGCCUAUUACAUAACAGAUCAUGAUGGGUCAUCAUGUCAAGAAUGGAAGGAUUAAAAGAAGAGGUAUUUUUCACAUUCAGAUUCUGAUGCCUAGAAGCUUUUUGUGAGCCCAGAACAGACUGUACCAGAGCCUGUGUACAUAUAUACCAGAAGUCAUCAGACCCUGAGGUGAACUACAAGGAUGUUGAAAAUGGACAAUCAAGGACAGUGCGCUGUAUGUCAGAAGUAUGGCAGCAAGCAGAACCACAUGAGGAGCAAAUUGCCACAACCACUACACAUCUCAGCCUGUGCAGAAGCAGCUACACAUGUAUCUCACAUGUCAGGACAGGGAUGUAUAAGAUUUCACAGAUUUCUUUUGGGAGCAAACAUGAGAACCUGACAUACGGGGAAAUGUGAGAAAAGUGUGUGCUCAAGUUAUUCAAAAGGAGGUUUUUAAAUAUGCACACAGUAGGUCAGAAACUGGAAUGCACGUAUCAGUUGAAUGGCAUUCUCCUCUUCAGCAGAACAUCCAUCACUUGCAUACAGACUUUUCAAAAUAGU